UACGGAGGGGGCAAGCGUUGUUCGGAAUUACUGGGCGUAAAGGCUCGUUGGGGGGCAACUAAGUUAGGCGUGAAAUCCCUCGGCUUAACCGGGGAACUGCGUCUGAUACUGGAUGGCUUGAGUUCGGGAGAGGGAUGCGGAAUUCCAGGUGUAGCGGUGAAAUGCGCAGAUAUCGGGAGGAACACCAAUGGCGAAGGCAGCUCGCUGGGACGUGACUGACGCUGAGACGCGAAAGCGUGGGGAGCAAACAGG
rnacentral:rRNA from 1 species